rnacentral:ncRNA from 1 species
UUGAGCCGGAUGAAAGGAAACCUUCACGUCCGAUUUUGAGGGGGGGGGGGGAGAUCCUAUAGGAACCUAUCCCAAU